rnacentral:rRNA from 1 species
CCCUUAGAUGUUCUGGGCCGCACGCGCGCUACACUGAUGCAUUCAACGAGUCUAAAACCUGCUCUGAUAGGGGUGGGUAAUCUUUUGAAUGUGCAUCGUGAUUGGGAUAGAUGAUUGCAAUUUUUCAUCUUUAACGAGGAAUGCCUAGUAAACGCAAGUCAUCAGCUUGCAUUGAUUACGUCCCUGCCCUUUGUACACACCGCCCGUCGCUCCUACCGAUUGAAUGAUCCGAUGAAUAUCAUGGAUUGAGGAUGCAAGCAGGUUCGCCUGUCUUCAUCUUCGAGAAGUGAAGUAAAUCUUAUCAUUUAGAGGAAGGAGAAGUCGUAACA